rnacentral:rRNA from 1 species
UACAGAGGUCCCAAGCGUUGUUCGGAUUCAUUGGGCGUAAAGGGUGCGUAGGUGGCGUCGUAAGUCGGGUGUGAAAUCUCGGGGCUUAACUCCGAAACUGCAUUCGAUACUGCGGUGCUUGAGGACUGGAGAGGAGACUGGAAUUCCUGGUGUAGCGGUGGAAUGCGCAGAUAUCAGGAGGAACACCGAUGGCGAAGGCAGGUCUCUGGGCCAUUACUGACACUGAGAAGCGAAAGCAUGGGGAGCGAACAGG